rnacentral:rRNA from 1 species
CCUACGGGUGGCAGCAGUAGGGAAUCUUUCACAAUGGGCGAAAGCCUGAUGGAGCAACGUCGCGUGCAGGAUGAAGGCCCUCGGGUUGUAAACUGCUUUUAUAAGCGAGAAAUAUGAUGGUAACUUAUGAAUAAGGAUCGGCUAACUACGUGCCAGCAGCCGCGGUCAUACGUAGGAUCCGAGCAUUAUCCGGAGUGACUGGGUGUAAAGAGUUGCGUAGGUGGCAUACUAAGUAGCUAGUGAAAUCUGGUGGCUCAACCAUUCAGACUAUUAGCUAAACUGUUAAGCUCGAGACCGUUAGGGGUAACUGGAAUUUCUAGUGUAGGAGUGAAAUCCGUAGAUAUUAGGAGGAACACCGAUAGCGUAGGCAGGUUGCUGGGACGGUUCUGACACUAAGGCACGAAAGCGUAGGGAGCAAACGGGAUUAGAUACCCCGGUAGUC